AAAAGAUGAGCCAUAGAAAAGUUUAUUCACAAGGUAGCAUACCCUUUUCAUGGGAGGACAUGCCUGGGGUCUCCAAGACCAUUCACCAAGAUACAGGCCUAGAUGUCCUUAACCUAUCAUCAUCUUCUUCUCCAAAGACGACGUCGUCUAUUCCCCAUGACUCAGAUACCUCCUCCCUAAAGGUAUCAUCAGCACAUCAAGACAAAAAGAUUCCUCUUCCUCCAUGCCAAAAUUUACAGCUGCCCCCUGGAAGAAGCACUUCUGCAAAAGUUGGGAGCUGGCAAGAGGACCCUUUCAUCGCAGCUUACAAGGAGUGCACAAAGAAUGUGAGAAAUGGCAAUAAGCCGCAGCCUAGUGAGAAAAAGAAGAAUGUUACUGGGUCUAAAGGUAGGAAGAGCAGGCUUAUCCUUUCAUGCAAGAAUUCAUGCGAUGUUACAGAUGAUAAUUUGGUGAGGCUAUCUAAUCUCCCUCCCAUUCCUAGAUAUAGAGUUCGAGGAUGAUGGAGCAUAGAAGCAUAUGUAUCUAUUGUCAAAGUAGCUUAAGCUAUUAUAUCACUACAUAUGAUACCUAUGUAAUAACAUAGAAAAUCAAGUAAUUAGAGACUCAUUAUUAUGUAUUUGUAUAUUUCAAUUAUCUUAAGUGGAAGGAAAUUUCAUAAUAUACAUGAGAGGGAGGAAACUUAAGUCUAAUUGAGGUGUUUUGUGUUCCUUUGUUUGUUUUGAAUUAUUGUUUAGUGAAAUAAUAAUCAAAAUCAUAGUUGUUCCACUUUAAUUU
rnacentral:misc_RNA from 1 species